rnacentral:rRNA from 1 species
GACGGAGGGUGCAAGCGUUGUUCGGAUUGACUGGGCGUAAAGGGCGUGUAGGCGGUUGGUUAAGUCGGGUGUGAAAGCCUGGGGCUCAGCCCCAGAAGUGCAUUCGAAACUAGCCAGCUAGAGCGCGAUAGAGGAGGGUGGAAUUCCUGGUGUAGCGGUGAAAUGCGUAGAUAUCGGAAGGAACGCCGGUGGCGAAAGCGACGUGCUGGACCAACACUGACACUGAGGCACGAAAGCGUGGGGAGCAAACAGG